GACGUAGGGCGCGAGCGUUGUCCGGAUUUAUUGGGCGUAAAGAGCUCGUAGGCGGUUUGUCGCGUCUGCUGUGAAAACUCGGGGCUCAACUCCGAGCUUGCAGUGGGUACGGGCAGACUAGAGUGCGGUAGGGGAGACUGGAAUUCCUGGUGUAGCGGUGGAAUGCGCAGAUAUCAGGAGGAACACCGGUGGCGAAGGCGGGUCUCUGGGCCGUAACUGACGCUGAGGAGCGAAAGCAUGGGGAGCGAACAGG
rnacentral:rRNA from 1 species